UUGGUACAUUUCAUUUGUCAAGAUCAAUAUACUUAACGAUCAAAUCCUGAAAAUAGCUGAAAUAGCUGAAAAACAAAUAUCUCAAACAAAACAAACAAAUUAGUAUUAUAUACAUAUGUACAAAUAACAAUUAGAUUUCAUUUAUAGUAGAAACAAUAAAGCCAUAAACUGCCGAGAAGCAUUCUUGACUGCUUAAUAUUUGCUGAAGGGAGCGCGGGAUAUCUUCAGCAGUUUUAAAAAUACUUAAAAGUUGAUCUACAAGGACCAUCCUUUGAAUACUAAACUGUGGACAAUCAAAAAAUAUAUGUUCAAGGGUUCCAUCAGCACUAUUGCAAUAUGUACAAGUUGAAGAGUCAAAAACACCGAUCCUAAAAAGAGAAACCUUGCAACAGAUAAGAAUUAAUAUUGGCAGUCCUGUUAAUAGUGUGCCUCAGUUUAACAAGAAGUGGAUGAUUACUAAUGGAGAGCAACCUUGCAAAAAAUUUUGAUUGUACCUGUAGUGAUAAUAAAAUUGAGGAUAGUUUUUCCAGAUUUACAUUAUUGAAUGCCCCUACAAUGUCUAAAAAAACUCCAACUAAUACUUUAUUCUCGGAACGAGCAUCGUGGAUAUCCAGACAGAGAUGACGUAAACUCUCACAAGCAGAACGACCACAACGAAAGCCGAACUGAUUGUGAGGAACUAAGCGUAAUGGGACGAUAAGAAUCAGCCAAAUUUGAGCCUUUGCCAGGUUUUAAUAUUGGUACCAGACAAUCAGUUUUCCAAUCCUCUGGGAUAAUAGAAGACGACCAUAGACUAUUUAACAACCUUAGGAAAAUAGAUAGAUUUUGAACAUUUAAAAGUUUAAACAUUCUAUAGGAAAGCCAAUCCAGGCCACAUGAGGAAUCUGUUCUAGAAGCUAAUGCAGACUUUAACUCUUGUAAAGUAAAACGACCAAUCAUGUAUGAAUUAUCAUUAUUUACUCCAAGAACAUUAUCUAUACUUAUCUGUUGUGAAACAGUAUCAGCCCAAAUGCGACUUAUUGAUGUCAAACGAUUUAUUGAGGAGCAGAAUUCAGACCAACUUUUGCGACGUUCUUCUUUUAGAGUUGCUGUGAAAAGGAAUGUUGUUCGAGGAAAUAGAGGGUUCAUGUUCGUCUCUUACGAGAGUAAAUCUUGUGAUAGUGGGCAGAUGAUAACUGCCUAAAGAUUCCUGAUGAACUUGCCAUUCACAAGAAAGAAACAAAGAAGAAGAUACCAUAGUUAAAUCUAGACUGUUCGGUUUCCAAAUAUGAGAGCCUAUAGUUGUCGGUUGACCAUUAUUUAAAAGUAUUAAGUCAUUGCCAUCCAUGGAAUCCAUAAUAGCUCUGCCCCGAGAAUCUAUACGACUACAACCCCAGAAAGUAUGAUGGGCAUUAAAAUCGCCUGCAAUUAUUAACGGUUUCGGAAUAGUGUACAAUAAACGAUCUAACUUCGCCUUUUCAAAACCAGGAAAACUAUUACCAGGACUAUAAAAACUAACCAAAGAAAUGGAUUUACGUUUUAGUUUAAUAACAAUUACUACAUUUUGUAACGAAUCAUCGUAAAAAGUAUCGAGCUUAGAGAAAUUUAUACCAUUUUUAAUUAAUAUUGCUACGCCGUUAUGGUCAUUACCGCAGUCAUUCCUAAUAAUGGUAUAACCACGUAUAUUAAAUUGAAUGCUUGGCUUGAGCCAAGUUUCUGAAAUAAGAGCAACAUGUAUAUUAUUUUGGUAUAAAAAUUUUGGAACUCAAGUCUGUCACUUAACAGACUUUGAGCGUUCCACUGUACGAUAUUUAAGAUUCGAUGGUUGAAUGUGACGAUUUGCUAUUUUUAUUCUGAAUGGUUUCUUUAAUAGCUGAGCUAAUAAAUUGUGAACUUAUACUAAUA